rnacentral:rRNA from 1 species
GACGAACGCUGGCGGCGUGCCUAAUACAUGCAAGUAGAACGCACAGUUUAUACCGUAGCUUGCUACACCAUAGACUGUGAGUUGCGAACGGGUGAGUAACGCGUAGGUAACCUGCCUGGUAGCGGGGGAUAACUAUUGGAAACGAUAGCUAAUACCGCAUAAUAUUGAUUAUUGCAUGAUAAUUGAUUGAAAGAUGCUAUUGCAUCACUACCAGAUGGACCUGCGUUGUAUUAGCUAGUAGGUGAGGUAACGGCUCACCUAGGCGACGAUACAUAGCCGACCUGGGAGGGUGAUCGGCCACACUGGGAAUGAGACACGGCCCAGACUCCUACGGGAGGCAGCAGUAGGGAAUCUUCGGCAAUGGACGAAAGUCUGACCGAGCAACGCCGCGUGAGUGAAGAAGGUUUUCGGAUCGUAAAGCUCUGUUGUAAGAGAAGAACGGGUGUGAGAGUGGAAAGUUCACACUGUGACGGUAUCUUACCAGAAAGGGACGGCUAACUACGUG